rnacentral:rRNA from 1 species
GACGAACGCUGGCGGCGUGCUUAACACAUGCGAGUCGAACGGAAAGGCCUGCUUUCCCUUGUGGAUUGCGGGUACUCGAGUGGCGAACGGGUGAGUAACACGUGAGUGAUCUGCCCCCAACUUGGGUAUAAGCCUGGGAAACUGGGUCUAAUUCCCGAUAGGACUGCAGGGUGGUGCCUGUGGUGGAAAACGAUUUUCUAGUGGUUGGGGAUGAGCUCGCGGCCUAUCAGCUUGUUGGUGGGGUAAUGGCCUACCAAGGCGGCGACGGGUAGCCGGCCUGGGAGGGUGGACGGCCGCAUUGGGACUGAGAUACGGCCCCGACUCCUACGGGAGGCAGCAGUGGGGAAUAUUGCACAAUGGGCGGAAGCCUGAUGCAGCGACGCCGCGUGGGGGAUGACGGCCUUCGGGUUGUAAACUCCUUUCGACCGCGAGGAAGCCACCUGGUUGGAAGGGUGGUGACGGUAGUGGUAGAAGAAGCACCGGCUAACUACGUG